rnacentral:lncRNA from 1 species
AAUGUGUGGGUGAGUGGGAAACCAAAUAUACUUGAGUCAGUUUGGCAAAUUAAAAACAAGUGGGAUUUAUUUCCAGAUCAGUAUGAUUAAAAUGGUCUGCAAGUCUCAAAUUAUGAAAUGAAAAAUAUUAUAUACCUGUAGUAACAGAAAAACACAGUGCUAUUGAAUGAAAUCUUGGAUUACUUUGCUUUGUAAAAAUCAUAUGAUGUGCAAUGAUAGUGCAGGGUGGGGGCACCUUCACAAGUGCAAAUAAAACUGUGCUUUAGAUCAGACACCACUAGGUGGUGGUCAUUCAACGCAGACCAGGUACUUCUUUUCUGAAUAAAUGCAAAACAUAAACUAGCUAUUACAUAGUAUAAUGUAAGUUUCAAAAAUAAAUUUUAAGCUGUACUCAUAAACAGGCUUACACAAGAGUAAGUCUCAUAAAAAUGAUGGGAAAUUUUUCAAAAGAAGUAGAUUGCAGAUUCAGACUCUUAUACCAUUGGCCUUUCUGGCUGGGAUGAUGAUGAUGGGAGUCGUAAUCCAACACAUCAAGAGGACAAAAUGUUGAGGAAGGCUGCUUUACAUUAUAAUGGCUUAUGUGGUGCAAAGAGAGACAUCAAGUAGCUAGUCAUAUGCUACCUCUCUCCUCAGAAUUGACCCUGGUGCCUGAUCACACCUAUUGCUUUCAAGGUGCUGCUACUGAAAGGAUAAUAAUCUUAGAGCUACAGAGCUAGCAGAAAUCCUAUGGAUUAUUUAGCCCAACCCCUGUCAAAGAGGCACAGUGGUGAACUGAAUUCUCAGCCUAUGACUCCACAGCCAGAUGCCUAAACCAGGAUGCAAAAGAAAACCAGAGUCAAAGCUGAAGGUGGACUGGCAAACUGUAUCUCCCCAGGAUUUCAGCCACAGCCUGUAUAGGCGGAAAAUGAAGACAGACAUAAGCAAGAAGGAUGGAACAAAAGAAGAAAGUGACAUUGAAAAUGACAUGCAGCUAGCCCCUUUCUUCUCUCAUACCUACAGGGGGCAUUAAUUGAAAAUGGCAGAUUUAGUCCCAUGAGGGAAU